rnacentral:rRNA from 1 species
CCUACGGGAGGCAGCAGUGAGGAAUAUUGGUCAAUGGACGCAAGUCUGAACCAGCCAUGCCGCGUGCAGGAAGACGGCUCUAUGAGUUGUAACCUUCUUUUGUACGAGGGUAAACGCAGAUACGCGUAUCUUUCUGAAAGUAUCUUACGAAUAAGGAUCGGCUAACUCCGUGCCAGCAGCCGCGGUAAUACGGAGGAUUCAAGCGUUAUCCGGAUUUAUUGGGUUGAAAGGGUGCGUAGGCGGUCGGCAAAGUUAGAGGUGAAAUCCCGGGGCUCAACUUCGGAAUUGCCGUUGAUACUGUUCGGCUAGAGAGUAGUUGCGGUAGGCGGAAUGUAUGGUGUAGCGGUGAAAUGCUUAGAGAUCAUACAGAACACCGAUUGCGAAGGCAGCUUACCAAGCUACGUCUGACGUUGAGGCACGAAAGCGUGGGGAGCAAACAGGAUUAGAUACCCCGGUAGUC